UGGUCAUCACAUCAAUCUUUAUGAAUAUAAUUUUUUUUUCAAACCAAAUGAAGCUUAAGCCCUUUUUUAACUCCGCCAAUGCAACUUCUUGCAUUGCCAGUCCCAAGCCCAUGUAAAGGAGGAGGGAGAAGGGCGUCAAGGAUUCAACAAUGGAACCCUUGACUUGUCAUUUAGUAGAUGGAUCUUACAAGUUUUGAAAUCCAAUGUGAUGGCUUUGCUUCAUAAGGAGGUGAAGUCUUUGGAUGAAGACAGUUGGAAGUUUGCCGGGUCCCACUCCAAAAUCCAUC